CUACCUGUGGCUCAGUUGGUAGAGCAUGGUGUUUGCAACACCAGGGUUGUGGGUUUGAUUCCCACGGGUGGC
rfam:Salmo salar isolate Sally breed double haploid chromosome ssa20, whole genome shotgun sequence.